CUUAUCCGGAGUGACUGAGGGAUCAGGCCCUAUGACGUCCGACAACCUGCUUUUAUAGUAAGGUGCCAAAUCCUGCGGUGUAACCGAAAGAUGAG
rnacentral:ncRNA from 1 species